UCCGUCCCGGCCUGUUGUGGGGCCGAGCGCGGGCGGGAGCGAGGGUGUCUGAGUCAGAGCUGCAUCCUCGGAGGAAUAAACGCCAAAACUCCCUCCUCGGCCGCUCUCACACCCCCAACCUCCGGCUUCUUCCUCACGACCGUCGAUGCUGUCAGCAUACGUGUUCUUUAUGAAUCUCUAACAGCACAUUUUCGGCCUAAACUGCGCGAAAAGCCGGGCAGACCCGCUGGAUCUCACACACGCAGAAGAACUACCUGAGGGGAGGGGAAGAGGGGAGCGAGAAAGGAGCGGGAAUUUUUGCAGACCUGCUCAGGAGGUUUUGACUGAAACUUUCAGUAAGACACUCGAGGCUGAGAAUCUUCCCCGAAGCGUUUAGGACUCAAAGGCAAGUGGGAGAAAGCUUUUUUCCUCAGAGCGAAUGCGAUAGCACUCGCUGAAGGCAUUUCUGUUCUGCAGGGAAUGAGACAAGCAGAGAACGAGCCUCGUUUGCCCGUUAGGGAACAGCGCUCGGGGAGUAGGAAUGGCGCGCUUCCAUCCAGACCAGCGGGCGCUGCCACUGCCAGGAGCUCGCUCAGCCUUUCAGGGCAAACACAGCUCCUGCCGUUCGUAAGCAGCCCGUCUUUCUAACCACCAUGUCUCCUUUUCGUUGUACCCCUACGCCGCCCUGCCUCCCUUGCCCGGCUUCAGCCCCUCCAGCGCUACGGCUGAUGGAGGGAGGGGAGGCGGCGGCUGGGGUUUCGUUCGACGCCCACCAGGGGCUGAGCGAGCCUUCUUCAGUGCGCAAACUCGGGGCACCAGAUAAAAGCUGGGCUGGCAGCUCUUACCCUGCCUCGAUGGAGCCGCCACUUUCGGGUGACUGGAGAAGCAGUUAGCAGCAGCGCCAUAGACUAGCGUCCCCCCACACCUUGGGCACAGAGAGUUUGGGGCUCUAAAGAGCUGCUGCUGCGGCAGGAGGGAGCCGAGGUGAAGGGAUCUGCUAGCUGGUUGGACGCAGAGGAGGCGGCUGUAAUGGGGCAUUAAGUCUGAGGGAGGAGGGGGGGCGAUUAAACCUCUUGUGAUCAUGGCGGAGUCUAUGGGUAUUUUUUUUUCCUGUCUAACUCUUCUGUGCGUGUGUCUCUUGUUUCUUUCUCUCUCUCUCCUUAGGGCGCUUGGCUGGGGCUGUUCGCUCGGGUUCUGCCUGUUGUUGCGCGAAAUGGCGGCUGGCGUCUUGGUGGGUUUGGUUGUCGGUUUUUUGUGUAGGGUUUUUUUUUUUUUCCCUUCCCCUCCUAUUCCCCUCCCCGCACUUGUGCCUUGGCUGCGGCUCCGCAGCGAACCGCGGCGGAGCCCGAGUCAGGAGGGGGGCGGGAGCGGCGCGGCAGCCAAUGGCCGGGCCGGCCCUGGUGGCCCGGCGCGCCCUGAUUGGCUGGCGCUGACAUCAUCCUGCAGCAGGGGCAGCCGCAGCUGGGCAGGGUCGGGAGCUGUCGGGGGAGGCAAAGGGAGAAAACGGGCGCCAUGAUCUCAGCGCCAGGGAGGACUCCGCGGGCAGGGCGUCCCCGAAGAGCUGGCGAAAAGAAAAGCAGGAUCGGGCCUGGGCUUCUCCUUCUCGAAUAGUGCCGGGGCUGUGCUGAGAGGAGCGGGAAACGAGCGAGAGGGGAGCAACUCAUGCCUGCCUUUGUAACUGCGUCAGUACAAGAUGGCGCAGGGUGUCCCUGGAGAGGGAAGGGAGUUGCACGUCCGCCGGAGGUCAUGUGACCGCGUUGCAUUCCUGUGGGGUUUGGCUGCGGACCAAGCUGGCUUAGGCGGCGGCGGCGGCUGCCCGGGAGAGCCCGGGCUUCCCUCCCCCUCCUCCUGCACAACGUCGUCGGUCCCGCGCUGGUUCCCUUCCCCCAUCAGCCUUAUGCACGAGGGUGUAGCUGCUGCCGAGGAAGGUUCUCGCUUCUCUCUUUACUCUCCACCCACCUCCAGGGUGUAGCUCCUCUUGGGGGAAGCUUUCCAUUCCGCCCCCUCUCUGCGCAAGGCUUUACCCACCGCCAGGGAAAGUUCCCCCUGGGUGCCUGCUGGCUCCGCCCGAGCGUGGGAGCCGGCUCGGUGCGAAGGCACUCUGCUCUGAGUUAAGUUGCAGGGGGUUAUGGAGUGGUUCUUACUGGAACAGUCGUUUUAAGCGAUGUCUAAAUGACCUCAUUAAAGCCGCUGAGGGAAAUGUUGCAGGCCGCGCGGAGUUGUUCUGAUGAGGAGGUCAUGGCUGUUCCAGUGUUGCUCUGCCGGGGGUACGGGUGGGGAGGCCCAGGGAAAAUCUCUCAGGUGUUUAUGACUUUAUUCUGCUUGAACAGGAAAAGUGGAUCGCUGUUCUUUGUGUGCUGUUGAAUCCUGUUGCAGGAGUUGAGCAGCUUUCUGUGGAGCGAUAGGUGUAUUCCAAAGUCAGGCCGCAGAUGGCCUGCAUCUUUAACACGGGAAUUGAUGUUUGUACUUAGUGCAAAUGAAAAAUAUGGUCUGCAAAUAUUGUGAGGACUCCCCAUGUUUUACUUUGAGGCAAAUGAACUUGUUACAUAGGCCUGGAAUGUUGGCAAAUAUAUUUUUCCAGGUCUUUUAAAAAAAAUUUCAAUAUUCACUGGAUGGGAUGUGAAAAAUGUAUGUUUUCCAAUCCUAACCCUUUUCUUUAAGGAAUGCAACUCCUGUUACAAUUUGGUUGAGCUUCUCAUAUUUUCAAAGCAAUUCAGUGCUAGUUCCCAUGUCGUGUUCUUGUAUGCCACAGUGUAAAUUUAGCCCCAGCAUCUAACCCAAUGAACAAAUUAACAGUUAAAAUUGUUGAUGAUUUAAAGGUGUUGGAAAUGUUUGAUGAUUUAAAAUGGAAAUGUUUCACUUUUUCAAUUCUUAGUCUGUCCCUGGAUAGAUGGAUUUUCUUCCUUUUUUCCUCCACAGUGGCAACCUGAAUGGGCAUAAAGCUUGACUAUUUCACAAAUGUGCUGUUUGAGAACAGGAAUGAAAGUAACUGAGUGUAUGACUAAUAGAGAAGAUUUUUGUAUAAUAGCUGCUCUUUAAUAUGUGUUACAUAAGUAAUAUGGUGAGGUGGAGUUCAGUUAUAUAAGAACUGACUGGGGACUUGGGAGCUGCUGUAAGUAGUUCAUAUUGGUCGCAUAUAUAGCCUGCAGGGCAUCCCUGUGUUGUGGGAGGAGGGGUAGAAAAACAGGAUUGGAAGCAUCUAACAGCCCUACAUUUUUCCUUUGUAGGUUUACAGAGGAUACCAGGAAAGAAAGGGAGAAGGCAGUAAUUAGGAAUGACAGAGUGUGAAGCUUUCAGAUGUCUGUAGUCUCAUUUGAGCUUAGGUUUUAGGAUGUAAGCUCUGUUUUCUCAGAGAGAAGGCUCCUCUCCUUUGAGUGUCAGAAGGUGGCUGCCAGGUGGGCCUUGUGCCGACUGACUUGUGUGUGGACUAUAAAGAGCAAGAUUCUUGAGUCCUAGAGAUUGUGAACCAAAAGAAAAAGCUUACUGGAAAUGGUGUUAGGAGGAGGCAGUUGGUUUGUUGAUCAAACAUUAAAAUGACUGGAUUACUGAUUCUUCUUGUGUAGGCAUCAUAUGACACAAGGUAAAUACUCCUUUGUAAUGGAAGCUUCCAGAGAGGCUUUCAGUGUACAGUGAUUCUUUUAACACAGCACUGAUUUAUGUGGGACUUGACAUUGUGAAUACUUUGUUGCAGAUGUGUUAACAACGGGAGAACAUUAAUUUCAACUAAAGAUGAGGGGAAAAGCAUUUUAUUAGUAUUUGUGUUUAGGAAUGUGUGCUGUAAUUGUGAAACAGUAAUUGCCUGCCACACUGUGUAAGGAUUGUUUGAAUGCUUAUGUUAUAGAAUGGUUUAUAUAGCUAGAAUUUUAAUUCUUAAAGCAACCUUUUAGGUAACUCACUUUGAUAACAGAUUUUGCUUGAAAACCAAGAAAUUAAUUACUUUAAAAGCUCUCUAUUGCAGCAGUACUUGAAUGGAGGUGUGGCUGUGCUUUUGUGAAGCUAUAGAAAUAAAGGCAAGUUUUAAUGACCUGGUAGUAAUUCCUUGUUUGUUUCAAGGUUGUUUUUAUUAGCAGUUCUCAGGAAAGCAGUUAUCUUGAAAGAAGCAGUAGCUCUGGUAGUGUUGCAGUGCAGUCUCCAUCAUGUAUAUUCUGAAUUAUUUGUGCUGCAGGAGAUGAGUAAAAACUGUGUGUAUUUCUUUGAGACAGAGUAUUUGCCCUACAGCCGUUCUGAUGCAAGCUGUUUUAAUCUUGAAGGGAAGAAAAAAAGCUGUAGGAGACUGGGUAAAAAAUGGUGUGUAGCUUACCAGGGAAACAAACAAUUUCUAUUUGUUCCUUAAGGAGGAUACUCCAAUGGGCUGGAUGCUCUCCAGCAGUCAGACCUGUGGCUCUGACUUGCCUUGGUAGCCUGUCUGUGCAUGCAUGUGUGGUCUGAGCCCUUGCUAAGACCUGCUCUUUAAACAGUUGUUUACCUUUGGCCAUACAAAGGGGCUGACAGGAGUUCAAGGGUAUUUAGGGGAGAAAGGAGAGAGAUACUCCCAGUGUAAUAGAUCCAGCUAUGCAUUAGUGUCAUAGUUGAGACAGUUAAAAGUGCUCAUGCUGAAAGAUGAUCCUGCUCUUUUUCAGCUGUUCAUUCUUGCUUCUGCAAGUGAUCAUGGGGGGAAUAGAAGUGAAGAAUGGAUGAAACAUAAGCCAAACAGUAAUGGAUGGCUUUCUAAUGUGACUCCUCAUUGUGUGGCUUGACAAACAUUCCUGUUUGAACAGGAGCAGAACGCACCUGGUGGGAAAAUGGAGAUAUGCAGGUUUUAAUUGUUAGUGAAGUUAGGUAUGCCUUUUCUCAGGAAAGCUGCAGUUAUUAAGGAGUUUUGAGGGGCACCUCUUGAAGGCUUUUGGCUAGUGGAGCUAGAAUCACUGAUACAGGGACUCUCAAAAACAAAAAUUCUAAACUUUGAGUUUUUAAGUCAUUGCUAAAUUGACCUUCUGUUGUGGGUAGCAAGAGCACUUCAGCUUCACUGAAUUGGUAGCCUGUAAAAUUAAGUGUUAUUCUCAGCUCCAGGCUAGUUAAGUGUUCUUAGGAUUUUAGAUGUAAGUUCAUUUUGUUUCAGGGUAAAACCUGAAACAAGUUUACUUCAUCCAGAAGUAGCUGAUAAUCUAAUAGCUGGGGUAUUCAGUGAAGAAUUAUUCCUACAGGAUGAGAUCAUAGCUAAUCAUAAAAAGAGAUGCCUGUGGGUCACACUAAUCAUGAAUUUGGCAGGUAGUCACUAACCAAAUGAAUUUGCAUUAUUUGCAAGAGGAAAAGGAGUUCCAGUGACUGAGAGCUGAUCAGUUUAUCCACCUGGGUUUGGACUGACUGUGUUCAGUGCUCAAACAGCAGCAGGACAAGAACUUGCUUUGCACACUGCUUUAGGCUUUGUGUUACAAUGAAUCUUUCUGAAAAAAUUGAGAUUAGUAAGGUUUUGCAUUAGCAGGAAAAUAGGUUAUUGGCUGGUUCUACAGUUCUUAACAGUUGAGUUCCUCACUUAAAGAGGCAACCUUAAAGCUGUUGUGUGGCCUCCUAAUCCUGGAAUUAGUGGGAAUUUGUACCAGGCUCACUGCUGUGAUCUCUGUGUAGUGAAGUGGGGCAUUGGUUUGUUUUCUCCUUCCACAUGACCCUUGUUACUUGAAGUAGAGUCUUUCUGAUGAACUGCUAGUUGCUUUGGAGAGCAGUAUGAAGGUCCAAGUAGCUACUUUCAUAAGUGAGGUCGUGCUCAGAGAUGAUUGUAAUGCAGCACUAGCCCUGAAAUGCUGUCAAUAGCAGUUCUUUGAUGAAAAGAACCAGUGAUUGAAUGGCUCAUGAGCAGUUGAUGCAAUAUGGUAGUUUUUGAGGAUCUUUAGGAAGAAAAUGGGAGACAAUACUGCCAGUUUGGAGACUUGGACUGUGCUGGAGUUGGGAAUUUACUGAACUGGAGACUCUAGCAUCCCAUAAGUACAGCUGAAGGUGGUCCUGUCACAGAAGACAAGAGUUUGUGUUCCUUGUAAGCUCAGAAACCAAACAAAUCUUAGCUGCUGGGUUUUUGUGCUUAUUAAGUGUUGGAGAAAAGAAACUGUACUGAAACUUCUUACUGUGACUGCUCCAUCUGUGAGCUUGUUAAUGUGGCAUGGUCAUGCAGUAGAUGUUGCUCAAAAGUAGAAAUGCAGCAAUAUAUCAUGUCUCUUCAAAGGUUUAGCUUGUGAAGACUGCUGCAGUCCUACUCAGUGUGGUCUGUUUAGAUGCAAAACAGAAAUACUCAACAGGCUGAGGGAGCUGGAGCUUUUCAACACAGAAAAGAGAAGGCUCUUAGGGAGGUCUCAUUCCAGCCUUCCUGUGUUUAAAGGUGGCUUGUGAAAAACAGAGUGACUCUUUCCAUGGGCAGGGAGUGGAAGGAGGUGGGUUUAAGCUAAAAGAUGAGCAAUCUGGAUUGGAUGUUAGGAAGGGAUGCUUGGAGGAUAGUGAGGCAUUUGAAUAAGUUGUCCAGAGAAGUUGUGGAUGUCCCAUUUCUCAAAGUGCUCAGGGGCAGGUUGGAUGGGGCCCUGAGCAGCCUGGCCAAGUACAGUUGUCUAUGCCCAUGGUAGGGGCUGGGAACUUGAUGAUCCUGAAAGUGCCUUCCAACCCAAACCAUUCUGUGGUGUCUGACAGCAGAAAGGUGCACUAAGAAUGGGGACCUUUUGACAUUGAGCACCACUGCUUAUAGUAAUGGAUUUGUUUCCAGCAAGCUUCAGUAGAUUGGUAAAUAGUGAAUAAUUUCUUUUAGUAUUUCUUUUUAGUAUUUUAUUAACAGAAGUUAGUCUCUUUCUGUCCAGUUGGCUGUCAUAUAUGGAUUUUUGAUAGCUCUUUGAUCCAAUGCUACAGAUGUACCAAAUACAAGUCCAAAACUAGCUUGUGUGGAGGAUAUGAGGUGUUAGAACUAGUGUGGGGGGCACAAGAGCUUAAGCUGAAGAGGUGGCUGGGAAACAAGCAUUAGCAUCCAGUUCUUGUGCUAAACUCCCUCCUUCCACAUUCCUGCCUUUAUUAGCAGGUUAGUCAUGACACAGGACUGUCAUAUGAUUCCCUGAAUUUUAGUCAAGUAAGGAAAAAAAAUUGGAGGUACAGAAUUGUGCCACUUUAUUAAUGCAGAUAAAAGAAUCCCUCAAAGAGGCUGUGGCUGCUCAUGAUACUGAGACAGUAAUUUAAUCUCUAGCCCAAGCAGUGCUUUACCAGCUGCAUUCCCUGGUACGUGCUAAGCAAUGGUUGUGCUGCUUCAUUUUGGGCCACUGUGCUUGUGGCCCAGUUUGUCAGGCUGAUGAUAGAUUGUGCACUGUGGUCUUUUCUGUUGAGCCAGGACGAGCUGGCUGUCUCAAAUUCCAUCCAGAACAACUAUGGGUCUUCUAAUUAGAGAUUUAUUAAAUAGUAGUGAAUAUCAUUGUCACAAAUAUCCUGAUUUAGAAAGACUGCUCUUCAUUAAACAAAACUAUUGCUUUUAUCAGAGUGGUGCUACUUCAAAUUCAUCUUCAAAGCUGUGCUCCAUUACCCCAGCAUACAUAUGCUGGAACAAGCUCAUAAGCUUAUAAAGGCAUGCUGGGCAGUUGUCAGAUCCUAUUUUUAAACUGUUUCUGAGAAACACUUCUGCUUCCCUAUCUCUGCAUAGUCAUAGGAAAGCCUAUGCAGGAGCCAUGAUGUCUGGGCUCAGCUAACAGUAGUUUUUGAACUUGAGUGUCUCCUCUUCAGUGACAGUAAAAUUGAACUGCCCUGAUUGCUGUUGCAGAGGGGAGAUGAUGGAUCACUGGGAAAUAGUGGUAGUGGGCUAUUGACUCCUUGACUCUAGUACAAACAAUAAAAGAGUGUACAGGUAUCCUCACUCCUGGGACCAGUGACAGGGCUUGAGGAAGUGGCAUGAAGCUGAGGCAGGGGAUGUGUAGGCUGGAUAGCAGGAAAAGGUGUUUUACCCAGAGAGUGCUUGAGCAGUAGAAUGGGCUCCUCCAGGGAAGUGAUCACAGCACCAGCCUGAGUUUGGGAAGUGUUUGGACAGUGCUCUCAGGCACAUGGGGUGGUUCUCAGGGUGUCCUGCAUGUGGCCAGGAGUUGGACUCCAUGAUCCUGAUGGAGCCCUCCCAACUUGGCAUCUUAAAGACUGUAGAUCUGUGGUGCUUGACAGCCUAGCCAAACUUUAUUAGGAAUCCUGAUGCCUAGUAUCAGAACAGCUGCUUUGCUAUGCUCCAGAGAGUGCAAGAAGAGAGCUUUAAACACUUUAAAUGGUAUCUCCCCUGAUGAAUCUUGAGCACAACAGGUUUGGUUAAUCUGCUGCUGAUUUGUGGUAGCCCACUUACUAUAAUUGUGUGACACUACUGUAUGCCACCUUUACAUUUUCACUAACAGUGGAAAACUGCAUAAAAAUGCAAGUGAUUCUGUAGGAAACUAGUAUUUUAAGGCUUUUUCUCCCUGUGUCUAACAUUGCCUGCUUUAGUCUAGGCCUGAAGUACAGACACUAAAUAUACCUGUUCAUGUACUCCUAUGCUGGAGAGGGAAGUCCUGAAUUGAGGGACUUCUUCAGUGAAUUUGUGUUUUGUAGCUUGGGUCAAAAAAUGAAGAAUACCAAUCAAGCAUUUAGACUUGAUUUUGUUUGUUAAAACUGGCAGGCAGGGAUAUUUCAAACUAGGGAAACUACUAUGAACAGGAAGGAAAAAAAAUCAUGCUCCUAUAAAAUGAAUUAUACAGAGCAAAUUAACUGAGUUCUGUGUGUCUUAGAACUCUUUCAAGACACUCCUGGGACCCUGCAAUUGCUAGUGUAGACCUAAUUGAUGGGAGGGAAUUGUAAUUUCAAAGUAUUAUUAGGACUGAUGCCUGAGGGCUGUAGCCAAGCCUACUCUACAUCUAGGAGUUGACAGUGGAGGGUCUUCUGAUUUCUUUUUUUUUUUUUUCUAGAAUAGGCAAGCCCUUAUUCCACACUUCUCACAGAUUGUGUGCUACAAAUAUUAGUGGCUUUAUAAGUGCAGCUGUUAGUUAAAUCAGUUUGUCUUGUCUUCUCUUUCAGUGGUAUGACUACUUAAUCAUCCCCUUUAAGUAAAUUGAAGUAGUUAACAGAAACCAAGGAGAAGAGCAGCUACCUAAAUUUUGCCUUGUAGGACAAGUGUUUCUGCUUAAAGGAAGGAGAGGAACUUAGCAUUGGGCCUAUUUUAAGCUCAUCCUACAGUGAGCAAAGCAGGGGGAUCUUUUUGAGGGGUGUGGUACCUUUUGUCUGUUUGCUUAAAGAUGCCCUUUAAUUUCAGUAAUGUAAUGACACUGAACUGUUAACUCACUUAAAACAAACCUCAUUAAUCCCACGUAUUUCUGUAACCUAACAAGAAUAUACUCAUAUACUUUCUGUUCAGUGUGGUGGCUGUGCCUUAUGUUUCAAAUUUCUCCUGUGACUGAUCCUCACAGCCUUCCAAUGUAGUUGUAGAUAGCAUAUUACAACUUAGAGUUAUUGAGCUGUCUACAAAUGCUCCUUACACAUAGAAGUGACUUGCUGAAAGGGGCUUCUGUGUGUCUGUAGGUGCUGCAUUAAGCUUAGAUUUUUUUUUCCCUGUAGCCCACCUGUGUAUUGAGCAGUGUCUUGCUCUGAGUGCUUCUUCUUUUUGCUUGAAUAGCAUUGAGCAAGAUUUAUGUACUGAUUGCACUCGGUAAAAGUAAGCUCUGCAUUCUGUUUUGGAUGUGUGUAUUAAUAUGUGUUAAACAUCUGUUUCAUCUUUUUAGAAGCAGCAUGUUGCAGUCUUGGAUCACAUUUCAAAUCUGAAGCCUUUAAGGGAUAUCUGAGGUUUGAUUCUCAACUGGAAAUGUUUGAAUGGGGAUUCCUGGUCUUUCUGGCUGUUCCAAGGAAAAAUAAGAAUUAAAUGUAUUCUUCUGUCAAUACUGGGUGUAUAUCCAGUAUAUACCCAAGGUCCAUUUAGCCUAUUUAGCUGUUUUUCAGCACAGGGAGGCUAAACCAGUGAAAGUAUGAAAUAUCAGUAUAUGUGAAUGACUGUGCUUAGGGUUACAGAUGGACAAAGGGAGGAUGAUGGAGGCCUCUACCAGUAACUGCAAGCUCUUUAGAGGCAUGGGUAGAACCAAAAGUAUUCCUGAUGUUAGCCAGAGAACAGUUGCUAAAACAAUAUUUUUAUCAGCAUUUUUAGGUUCUCUAAGCUGUUGUUCACAUAGUAUUUAAAAAAAGGGAACUGAAAAAAGCUCAAAAUUGAAUACAUCAUCAGUGGAGGGGUUGCCCCUAACUGCAGCAACAAGAUGAAUUGUAAGAAGGGAACCUGACUGAAAUCUGUCUUUGUUGGAAAAUAAGCAGGCCUAACCUGUAGUUCUUGAACAGUGUAUAACUUUCAAGCAGCUCAAGGCUAUGCAUGUCUGUAGUCUACUGAUCAUAGAAAUUGUGAAAACAGAGGCAUUGUACGUAACUGUGAAAUUCUGAAAGAUCAGUUUAGAGGGGAUCUGCAUGUAAGUAACAUUUCAAGCAGUUAUGCUGCAUCCUACAUCACAUGAUUCCUAGCUGUUGUGCAGCAGGAAAUCUCAGCCUUUUUCCAUUCAUCCUCUGGAGCUUGUGGAGGGAAGCACAGAUUGGACUUGUAUUUAACUAUAACUUCCUUCCCUUUGGGAACUCACGUCUGAGCUACUGCGGAUUUCUGGCCACGUGGUGUACUUUGAUUUCCUGCCCAUAUGUGAAAUUUGAGUAAGCUUUGGCGUCUCAGGGUGGAGAGGGUGACUGGGAGAUUUCUUUCUGUGGAAGUAGAAAGUCAUUCCCUGAUUGUCUCCUUGCCCAGCUUUCUGCAUGCAUACACUUAGGUACACUCUAUGUCAUGGUCAGCUCAUAGUCUGUAUGAGCUGACAAUAUAGCAUGUAAGAGUUAAGCUUUCCUAUUUUCAAACUGAAGGACUCUUUCAAAACUUCAGGUAGUUUUGUUGUAUCUGAUUGAAAUUGUUAUUUCUGAUUUUCAAAAAAAAUGCUAGACUGAAGGCUAGCUCCAAGAAUGGCAAUUUUAUGCUGAAGUGUUCACCUGCCAAACAGACUGCCUAAAUCAGCUUGCAGGUUUUCCAUGCAGUGAACAGAUUGUGAGAAGUACAUCAAGAAAUCAUGGAUACUGUGGAGAAUGAGGGAUUGCAGUACAGAAGGGAAGGUGCUUAUCUUUAACUAGAUAUGCAUUUUACUUUGAAUCCGGUUUUGGAACUAGAUGUUCAUGCCCAGUCUUCUUUUGUAGCUUUUUGAAAGGGAAGAAUUUCUAACAACCAAAUCAGUUGCCUUUUUAAAUGCAGGAGAACUGGAGUAAGGAAGGCUGUGAGCAUGCAUGCCUCCCAAAUCCUGCAAAUGUUCUUUCGCUUAAAUUUGUCUGAAUAGCACAAUCAGUAUUGUGUUUUACAAUGCUCAGUUGCUAGGAAUUUAAUUUCCAUGUUUAUAGAUAAUGUUUUCUACCUAUUUUGUAAUGUGUGCAGUGUUUCUCCUGUAAAUUUUCUCAUGGUGUUAAGCUUCAUUUUUUUCCCACAACAUUGUAUUCAACUUUAUUAUUGAGGUGUUUAUUUCCUUUGGUUUCUAAUGUGAAAGAAAAACUCUGCUAAACCUGCAGAUAUUUCAAGACAGAGCAAGAGGUGCUUGAAGAGGGGAAGCUAGUGCUCAAGUUCACAAAUCAAAAUAGGCUUGCAGUUACAGCUUAACUGACAGGCAGGAAAAUAGCUGUAGUUUUAAGAGCACAGCUGGCAACAGGCUCAUGCAUACCCCCAGAAAAGUAAACUUGUCUGCCACAAUGUCCAGAUCUGUUUGGAUAAUGAUAAAAAGAUACUGGGCAAAAUGCAAGAGUUAUCUGACUGUUUGCCCAGAGUAUAAAUAUUUCAGGCUUUGAGUGCUUGUGUGGCUUAAAUGUUGCAGAAAGGCUGUCUCAGUUAUUUUUAGGUUGGGGGAGCAGGAAGAGUACUUGCUUCCUGUCUUCCCCUCCCCCAGGAACCUUGGGCACGUUAAUGAGGAGAAGAAAUAUAGCAACCCCUGAGUUGGUUUACCAGUUCCUAUUGAACAAGGUCAGUACAUUUCCUGACCUGCUUUGUGGAAGGAGUAGUACAGCCACUUAGGCAGUAUUCUCCCUUUUGAACCAACACAAAGGCAUAGAGGGUUUCAACUGAAACAAGUCCACAGUUUACUUCAUAGUUGCAUAUGAAUAGUCUCCAAAACAACUGCUGAAGCUUAUAACUAGAAUUAGUCCUCUAGUUGGUGUUAUGUGAACUUUGGUGCUAUGCACAAGCCUAACUUGAGAAAUCAGUGAAACUGAAUACCUCAGUUCCUCUUAGCUAUUGUAACGUUAGUAUAUUUAGGCAAUAACCAUUAAUAUCUUUAUAUCAGCUGUUGUUUCUCUUCUACAUAGCUACACAUUCAUCCUACUUGUAGGUGUUGGCACAUAUCCAUGCUAUAAAACAAAGAAAUGUGAUAACAGCACUUCUUCAGUUCAAGAUAUACCAGACUGCUUCACUUGACAGUUCAGGGGGUUUUUUGUUACUUUGAUCCAGAGGCAAAAGAAAAGCCAUAGCAGUGCCUUGGAUUUUCUUCCUAACAAGGAGAGGCAAAAAAUGCAUUUGGUCCUGGUUACUGUAAAAAUUGUGUAAGACAAUAUAAUUGCUUCUUUUCUUCUUGCAUGAGUACUGGCAGCAGUGCACAGGUGUUAACUUGGGGAGAAAAAGUGUCUGGGCCUAUUGUGUGAAUCCCGUUUGCCAUCACUGUGCACAUACACUUCAUAAGUGAUCACUCCUCCUGACAAAAACCAGUCUGCAGCAAUCCAGCUGGGAGUACAGAGCUUCUUGGCACUGUGCAGCGUGUGCAGAGCAGGCUUAGAAUCACUCAGGCAAGAAGCAGAAAAAUACUAGCUUUGGCAUGCAGAAGUGUCCCCAUGUGUGGAGCCAGGAUAGAAACACCAGGCUUGUCCUAGCAUGCUCCUCCAGCAGCUACACAGAAUGUAGCUACACUACUAUGCAGAGCUGUGCUUUUUUUUCAGACUUCUGUGUGUUUUCCACUUACUUAGCAAUGGUGGUUAUGCUGUCUUUGGGGAUAUUGGUUUGCAGUUAGGUCUAGGGUCUUGUUUCAUUUACAGUUAUGAUGUUAGAAGACAGAACAGUUCUUGCUACUUACUUUGAUCCUUCUAGCUGAAACAAAAAUUUUAUGGUGGUAUUAUAUUUUGGGAAACAAACUGUACGAGAGGGAACAAGCUGAAUGCAAUUUUCAAUAGCUUGAAUUCUGGAGAAAAUGGAGUGUCUGCUUACAGAGACUUGAAACCUCUUGCAUCACUAAUUAGGCACAAGCAGUCAAAUCUUAAUCUGAUGUCUGAAUUAUACUCAGUUAAGAAGCUAUAGCAGAGUAUGUUUACUUGACUAGUGAGAAAGUUAAGCAAUUCCAGUUGGCUUCAAAUAUAUUUUUAAUUUGCUGAUGAAAAAUCAAGAAUUUUGAUGCUAGUUAAACUUUGUCAGUAGUUCUAUGGACCUAUGCAGUUUGCUCUGCAGGGGAUUCCCAUUUUCUAACAGUCUUAUUCAAUACAAAAUGAAUAAUAAAUUAAAAAUUUUGUGAGCACUUAGCUAGUUAAAUAUUGGUAGGAGUAUCCCUGUCAAAAGAUGAAAAGGAGCCUUUGUUGUUAAACAGUAUAUAAAUAUAAGCUGAAGUGGUGAAUCACAUGAGAGAUGGGCAUAACUCAAUAUCCACUGCUUUCAGACAGGAGGGUCUGCACACUGCAGUUAAGCUCUUUGUGGGUAUUGAACAGUCUGAACAUAAGGAAGGCUGGUGCCUUCUGCUGUUCUUGAUGAAGUUGGAAAUGGUAGAAUUGAGGCUGCAAGGGGAAUCACAUUCCAGUUCGUGGUUUGAUGCUUUAGAAUAAAGCCUUUUGCUGCUUAUUUGAGAGCUCACCUAAAAGCUUGUCCAAGUUGUGAGCCUUUCAUGGGAAGAGUGUGUGGGGUGGGGGGUGUGGUUUUAAGAAGCUUGUGUUUCAAAAUAAGCCUUUCACAAUUCCUGCUUCUGGUCAGAUUGUACAUACUUCACAUGUGUGAAGCAUGCAGCUUAGCUAGGUAAGAUGUAGCCUGUUGGCAUGUAUCCUCUGCAGGCUGAGAAUAACAUUAUCUACAUCUAGAAGACUGGGGUAACUUCUUCAUAUGAUGCUCACCCUGAGCUGCUCUAAUCUGUGCAUGAACAUGUAUUACUGGUGGUUACUUCUAACUGCUCCAACCUCUGAGAAAGGAAAGAAGCAAACACAUUGUUAGAGCUUUCUGGGGCUGUUGAAGAAUCAGUAAUGGGAUGCAAGUGGUAAAUUGACCUGUAAUACAGUAAGGCUAAAGGGAGUGCAUUAAGAUGAAAUUAGGGAUUUCCAGUUAGGAAGAUGGAACUGAAAGCUAGAGGAAAGGGGCUGGGGAAAUUGGUAAGGUGAGAUAAUAUCAAGAAGAAAAGUGUGGUGAGCUCAUCCAAGAGUAAGAGAAGUGCCUGUGGUGAUGGGAGCCAUUUUUAGAAAUAGUGAAAGAACACUGGAAGCCUUGCAUGAGAACCUGCUGAAAGUUAAUGUCUGUUAGCUAAUGAUACCUGUCAUCAGGGAGUCAGUGCAGAAGUCUGGAAUCAUGGGAUGGCCAAAAACAGCACUGAGACAGCUGAUGGGGUUUUCAGCUUGACCUAUGGGCUGGAGGAGGAGUCAUGGACCUGUGGUAGGUGGUUGGAAAAGACUGUAACUACUUGGGUAGUAACCCAGCUUAGUAAUGAGUGAUUAGCAGCAGGGCCAUGUUCAUCAAGGUGAGUGACUGGAGUUCAACUCAGCCUUGAAACAGCUUCUUACUGUGCCUGAGCUAGGAACUGUUAUGUUGGGGCAGUUGUGGAUGCCAGAGGCAGUCAUGGCUUGAGAUGUUCUCUGCAGUUGCUCUUUACAAGCCCUGUGUUCUGAUGGCACAGUGUCGUGCUCCAUCACCCCAGCUGCUGAUCAUUUGUGUGACUAUGCUGUGAACAAAGGACUGAUGUGUUCAAUAAGGAGAUCACUUCUUCCUACUCUUACAUUCAGUUUUUGAGUUGGGACUGACUGUGGACCUAAGAUUAGUCAAAAUAGUCCUGUAGGGACUGUGUUCCACAUCAUGCAAAAUCUCUGGCCAUACUGCUGCAGAAACACCCUUUUCCUUUUUUCACUGUUUAACCAUGUGAGUGGAUUUCCAAAGCACAUCAGUGCCUCGUGUCAGGGGCACAGUUAACUAGAAACUAUUGGCUUGAGAUGGGGCAAAGUCUUGUUCAAGGCAUAUUGUUAAAUAUUACCACGAGACACUCUCAGCUGUAGUUUCAUUGUUUUGUCACAAUUUAACAAAAUUAUUCCUGCAGGAAAUGAAGGAGGGAUCUUUUACUGAUACCAUGACAAGAAAUAAAUUGGGCAACAGUAUGCAGCCUGUAAUUACAAGCUAUAUAAAACAAGGGCGUCCAGUGGCCCAGGCAGUCUGUUCUAACUUUUCUCAACUUUCACCUGUUUUCAUAAUGCUGCAAAACAACAGAAAUAAGUAGAACUGGAUUUUCUGCAAGUGUGUGUCUUCUGAGCGUCAAACAUUUUUCAUUUCCAUUUCAUGGAUUAAACCAAUGCAAUAAAAUGAGCUUAAUGACAGAGUAAGUCCUGCUUUUUCAUAAACUUUUUUCUCCUACCUUCCCCUUGCCUUUCCAUGGUAACUCUGGAACCUCAUGAGUUACUAGUAAUGCUGGCAGAGGCUAAUGUUUACAACUCAGUCUGUUUUUUGAAUACAGGCUUCAGUCUUCUCUAGCAAAUUGAAACCAGAUGGGAACGGCAGGGAGCAGAAUGGAAUUUAUUUCUCUUAUGUGGCUUGUGAUGUUAACAAAACUCUUUGGGUAUUUUUAUUGUUAUUUUGCCUAGAAAAUGACUUGUACCUCCUUUCUGUCCAGUCUCUGUAAUGUGGAAGCCUACAGCACCUACCCCAGCACACUGAAAGCCUUCCCUGCGGUGUGUUGCUUUACUUCCAUUGCAGUGACAGACUGUGGUAUAAUCCUAUAACAUUUUUUUGUGGGGUGUUUUGGGGUUUUUUCCAAGUAAAAUGAUCAAAACCACUUAAUCCAUCCGGAUUUUUUUUUUCUGCUCUUCUUGCACAGCUGAUGGAGGUGAAAUGCAAUUCGUUUUGCAACAUUUAACAAGUCUUUCUCUUUUCUCCAGCGACCCUAGGUGAAAGUAAACUAAAGGAAGACUUGCUGAAAUCUGAAGAGGGAGACAGGCUCAGUCACUCAAACUACAGUGGUUCCAGAGUCUGUAAUGUAGACAGGAUAAGGAUUUUUUCUGUGCAGUUAAUGCUGUGCUUUUUUUGUUGGUUUCUCAGGAGAAAAGACUCAACAUGUUGAAUCACAGAGAUGUUACUUCCUGCUGGGUUUUGGGAUUUCCUUUCAGCUCUCUCCUCCAUGGCUGCAGGAGCUGUUUUUGCAUAGUGCAUGUUCUAAGGCAGGAACUUGCUGGAGAUUAAGACAGAAGCCAACCAGUUCUGUGCUGAAUGUAAUAGUUUCUGACUCAAAUUGUGUGGUAAUUGUCAGAAUAUCAUAGGCUGUUGCAGGAACUGCUGUGUUGAACAUGGCUGAGGAUUUAUUAUUUCAUAAUUUGCCUAAAUGAGUAUAGGAUGCUAAUCUGAAUUAACAUAUGAAAGUGGAGGGGAAAGAUUUCUUGAUCUUUUCUAGCCACUUGAAACCUGAUUGUGUGCAAAAAUAAACUUCAGUAUGCUGAAGUAGUCAUGGGGUUUUUUCCCCACUUGCUCAGUCUUAACUCCCAUUCUUUCUGAUUUCCCACACAAAGAACAGCUACUUGCUAUAGCUUCAAAAAUAUUAACAAAAUACUGUGAGCACUGGAAAUAUGAUAGAGUUUUAAACUACUAUCAGCUUCACUAGGAAUUAAAAACAUGUAAUCCUGGAAGUUAUGGUAGUAAAUUGAUUGCAAGUAUUUUGACAUACAGCUUGCUUUCCUCAUAGAAGAGAAGUAUUCCAGCAGCUUCCUACAGGACUGAGUUCCAGUGUCAUGUGUAAGAUUGGCAUGGUUACUAUGAAGACAAACCUUAACAGAAUUCAUAUGAACUCUACUUCUUCAGCAAUUGUUUUUGAUAAAGCAGGUCUUGCAGCUCCAAGAGGCAAACAGGAAGGGGAUGGAGGGAUGGUAGUUAACUUUUCAGGCAGAUCAACUGCUGGAGUUAAGCUCUCCGAAUGUGGAAUAGUGUCAAACACUGCAACACUCCUGUACCCUUUUUCUUCAAAAAAGGCUUCAGAUGUGCUGUCUUUUUACCCUGCAGUGCUAGAGGAGAGUUCUGCAUGAAGCCAUUUCUCUUUUGUGUUUUAACCUCUGCUGUACAUUGUCCAGUCCUUGUUCAGCAGACUGUUCCAUUUGGUGGACUGUCCUCUGGUGCUGUUUGGAGAAAAGAAAGCGAGUUGAUCUAUAGCUGAGUAUCUAAAACAUGGAACUUCAGAGGACUGCCUGAAGUUGUUAAACCUAAUGACUUAGAGCAUCCAGAAAAGCCACUUCACAGGAUAAUCCUUCCCAGCACAUGCCAUGAUAAUGCUUCCAGUGUCUUUGAGUUUUUGUCUCUGGGUCUAAUGGUCCUAGGAUGUGAACUGUCAGAAGUGCAAAUUCUGACAUAAUUUCAAAUAAGUGAAUCUUCCAUCCCUAGAUGGAAGUUCUUGCUGGAUUUAAAAAAGGCUAUAUAUUUUAAUUAGGUACAGUCUGUGUGCCUAAUUUGAUGAAAAAAUGCUUGAAAAAAUAAUAUUAAUGAAAAUUUUCCUUAAUGGUGGAUGACAGACAUGUAAACUACUGUUGGACUCUGUGUGUGUGUGUGACUGGCUGUUUGUUAAGGGAAAAGCAUGUUUUCAGAGUGUGGUUUUUGGACUUCCAGACAGAUUACACAAACUCGAGGAGGCCCAGCCCACAUCCUGUGUAGAAAACCAGCUCACAGAAAUGCUCAGUGUUCUUCAGGGUUAUAAGUCACUGCAUUUUGUGCCUCCCCUCUAUUUCAAAAUAUUGUAUGGAAAAUACUAAUGCAAAGGAACCACAGCAGCUUAACAAGUGCUUGGUCCUGCCAGGUACUGAGCUCUGUGCUCUUACCAGAAGGCUGGGGGACUGGGAUUAAACCAUUAGGCUCCCUGGCUAGAGAACAAAGAGUUUGUGUUGGUAAAAGUAACUGAGUAUUUAUCAGGUGAGUAAAUCAAUUGAUAAUUGACAUGCUUUCAACCUGAAAGUUGUUUGUGUGCAGCCAUGCCAGUGUUUACUAUCCUGGAGUGGGAGUUACAGGAUAUGGAGUUUUCUUCAGGCAGGGUGAGUUCUCCAUGACACUGAUUCACCUCUGCUCAGUCUUCACUGCAGAAAGAGAGAAUGUGGGGUGUCCAGAUCUGAUGCCUCACCAGAAAGUGGUUAGUGUUUCUGAAUCUCUACCCAUGCUUAUUGCUGGGUUGUGUUUUUCAACCUGCAAGCUAAUGGACUAUCCAUGAAGAGAGCUUUCAAGUCAAAAACACUAAAUCCUCUUCACUCUUCCCUUUUUUGAAUGUACAUUGUUAUCUUGGAGGUUAUUUUUGAAAAGCUGAGGUGCUUUCAUUUUUAACUUUUAAACAGGAUUGGUGUUCAAUGUUAAUUUUAAACCACUUGUAUUAUGUUUUUCUUACUUCAAAAAAACAGCAGCUUAUAUUUUUUGCUAGAGUUCGGUACCCAUUUAAGACUAAAAUAUUUGUUACGAUAAUCCAGAUGUAGCUAAGCAGAAGGCUGCCAUGAGAGUGCUUGAGGUUGUUCCCUGCUUUUCUCCAGUCCUCUGAAAGGAAUCACUUCCCUUUAGUCUCUGCCAGUCUCCUGACUGUGCAGCAUUCCCAAAACAUGUGGACCAUAAAAUGGGAUUAUAGGGGAGGCAUUCAAGUAAACAGAAGUUCCCUUGGGAUGAGAUUUGCUUUUUCAUGUAGAGCUCCUGUGUGCUGUAGCCUGGCACUGGAAUUUGCUUGGUGACCCCAAGGGUGGGAGAGCACCCAGGCCAUCCUCAUGUUUUGGGCAUAGUCUCUCCUGGCUGGCACAAUAAAGUCCCCCUUUGCAGUGUUUUUGGAAGGACACACCCAAGUGAGAGGUUCUUUCUGUGUCUCUUCAGUGUCUCUGUGUAACAAUAAAGGGCCAGUCUCAUGAUGCAGCUAUGGCUGCCAGAAAUCUGCAAUGAACCUACAGCUGUAGCAGUCAUUAAUUGCACAGUAUUGCUGAAGCAUUCCAGUGCUUCUGUGAGUUGUGUUCAGGGGUAAGUAGCUGCUUGGAGAUAAAAAACUUCGUGCUUUCAUAGAAACAUAUUAUCCACCAUACCUUGGAGGAUAACAUUUUCUUUCUGUGAUUGCAUGGUCCUCUUCUGUUGAAAGUAUACAGCCUGGGCAGGCUCAGUCUGCAGUUUGAGUACUUAUGAGUUCUUUGUUGAGACUAAAUUGUGUUGGCCUCAGCAGGGAACGUUUCCAGACCAUCCAUGCUGGCCUAAAUAACUCAGGCUGUCAUUGUUGCUCCACAGGAUGAUGCUGUGUGGGAUAUCAGGGCACAAAGCCUUCAGACUUGUGUUCAUUUCACUGUAGCUAUGUUUCAUAUUUUGAAAGAACUUGCCACAAAUUGAUGUUGUCCUUCUAUCUCUCCAGUGGCUGCUAGUCAGUAGUGUUCCCCUUAUCACAGGCCCAUAGAAUGGUCUGGAUUGAAAGGGAUCUUAAAGAUACCUGAUUCUACCCCCUGCCAUGGACAGGGACACUUUCCCCUAGACCACAUUACUCAUGGCCCCAUUACUCAGUGUGCCCUUGCACACUUCCAGAGGUGGGACAUCCACAGCUUCUCUGGAUAACCUGUUCUAGUGUUUCACCACUCUCACACUAAAGUAUUUCUUCCUGAUACCUAAUGUAAACUUGCCCUCUUUCAGAUUGAAGCCAUUCCCCCUUGUCCUGUCACUACCUGCCCUUGUAGGAAGUCCCUGUCUGGCUUUUCUGUAGGGUUCCUUUGUAUAUUGGAGGACUCCUUGUUGCCAGUAGCAAGGCUUCAGAUGCUGGUGGCCUUGUCUUGGCUUCCUGCAGGUGCUGCUCUGUACCAUGGCACAGCUGCUUUUGUGCAGGGGGAAAGCUGCAAUUGUAAAUACUGUCCUUAAAACAGCAGGAAUUCAUAUAUUCCCUUAGGUGGCUGUAUUCCAGACAUGGCCUGUGUUUAUCGUGUCCUUGAUGUGCUACUGGGCAUUAGUGAGGAAUAUGAUAAGAGAUCCCUCCAGAUUGGAAGACUGCCCCUCUGCAUUUGGUCAGCACAGCUUUAUUUGUACUGAACUUUACCUUUCUUUAGAGGUGACUCUGAACAGAAACUGUUAAACUUCUUUUGAUUGUGAAGCUUUGAACCUAUAGCAACAGUGAGAAUUUUCAAUUAUCUGAAGAAAUGUAUACAUCAGAAAUUCUUGGGGUUUUUUUCUGCACCUGGUACAAGGAAGUAGAACAGCCCUGGGAAACAAACAAGACAACCCAGUUCCUGCUGCUGUCAAAGGCAGCAAAUCCAUUCAUUCGUGUACCUCCUAUUGUAACCAAAGCAAAGAAUUACUUGCUAUGGGUUCUAAAUCAGGAGUUGCUAUUCUUUCUCGUUUGGUUUCUUUUUAAAGCCUUUUGGCUUUAAUGGGGAGCAUGCUUACAAAAUUAAGGGAGGUAAAUUUGGGGUGUGUAUCUCACACCACAGGUGGCUGCACUCAGGGGUAAUGUCAUUGUUGCAGCUGUACACAGCUUUUGUUUCUAGAGGGUCAGAUUCUCUGCCCUCAUCUAUAGGUGGGGUAUAAAUGAGAGAAAGGCUGACUUAAUUUGAUGGCGGACUAUUGAUAAGAGUAGUGGUUAUUUGAAGACUGUUUUAUCCUAUUUAAGGUUGGGAUUUUUUUGGAAAGUCUGAUUUAUGGGUGUAUUUUGUACCAGAGCCCAUUCAAGAGCUGGGUCUGAAUAAAGCUGUCAUUUGCUACAUCUCCAUUGGUAUUUUCAUCACAUCUUAACUGUAUGAGAGUUAAACAGGAUUAUUAAAUAAAAUUUUCUGAAGGUCAAGAAGAUAAAUUAGUAUUUUUAAUACCUACAGGUUUUAGGAAAACAUGCUGAAUUAUGAGGGGAAGUACAACAUAUUUAAUCACUGUAUUUUUCUAAUAAAUAUAGAUGAUAUAGCUGUAAUUGCAGGGAACUGAAAAUGUCAUGUCAAUAACAGUAGCACCUGCUUGUAUUUAAUUUAAUUUGUGUGUGGGAUUGUUUAUAUUGUAGAAAAUGGCAGUUUAGGAACAAGCUUUUGAGGGGAAGGAUAUGUUGCCAAGGCUGCAAUAUUUUGUAUUACACUGUACAGACACUGUAUCAUAACUCAGAGUAUUUGUGAUCUUCCCUCCCUUUGCAGUCUACCUGCUCACCACUGCCGUCAGGAAGGUGAAGUUGCAGUGAGCUGGGUCGGCAGCAGAAGCCUCACUUUCCUUGCAGUGUUUGAUUGGUGCCUGUGUAGCUCUGUGAAUGACUUGUUACAGAGUCAAGUAGGUGCCAGUGCAAGGGAAGCAGGAGGAGGAAUCUCCUGAUUUGGCAGCAGUUGGCAGUCAGAUUGGCUUUAUGGUUUCAUGAAGUCCUGUCUGUAAGUUGUACCCACAUCUGUAACUAUCUGGAAAGGCAUGGUUGUUGAAGGCUUUGCUUCCCUGCUGCCAAGUGCCACCCAUCUCCUGAGCACUGCCACUGCUGGCCAGCUGCUUGACAGAAAGGUAGGUAGGGGACACAGACUUGGCUGUGAGCUUCUAGGAUCUGGUUAGAGAUUUCUGGAACUGAUGGAGGGAGAACUGCUUGACACAUCAGGUUCAAAUGGGCCUGUGUGUUCACAUGACAAGAUGAAAUAAGUGACUCUAAAGAAGCAUUAGCUCAGACCUGGGCAGCUGCAGUGUUCUGGAAAAUAAAGGAAUCCACAUAGUAGAAAGACAGAUAAAGGAAUGACUUACCAAGACAUUGGUAAUGCACUACUGCCAACUAUCACAUGGGGGGAGAAAAAAAAAUGGGGAGAUUCAAAAAUCCCAGCCAGUUUGUCUGGAUCUUUGGACUGGUGCCAAAGUGCUGUGAAAUUUGUGGACUGGGGUAAGACAGUAGAAGGUCACCAUCACCUUGGGGGAAAAAAAAAGGCCCUAAGCAGUGUCUCUCCAAGGACCUGGCUUUUUUACUAUCUACUGUUACAAGUGACACUAGAGAUUACUAAAACUGGAAGAAAUUAGAUGAACCAAACCCUUCUCUUGUUUUCUGGUCAGCGCCAUUGUUAACAUUCUUGGCAGAACUUCACAGACGCUUUCUGUGGUUUUUCUGCUUGGUUGCACUUCCUGUCUCAUUUAUUGGCAUAAUGAUGUCACUCACACACACUGGGGAGGAGCACAGUGGUGGGCUCUGCCCCAGAUCCUGCAAGAAAAGCUUUCUUGUGCCCCUACAAGAAGACCUUGCUGCUGCUCUGAUGGCUGAAAUCCAAAUGGAAGAUUCCUUUUUUGCGCCUCCCCUGGAUGGAACUGGGUGGCAGAGCAAGAGGAAGAGGCAGCAGAAGUGUAACGUCAUCUUUGGUAGGAAGCUACUUACAGGAACAUCUGUGUUCACCUAAUAUGGGUGAGCACCUAGAGUCUGUGUAGCUCUGUCUGUUCCUCCAGAGCCUGUGUGGAGCUGCAGAAGAGAAGGCAGGGGCAGGGAAUGUGCUUUUCCUAAGCAAACAAUGCAGUGAAAAGCAGGAAUGAGAGCUUCAAACACAUCCCUGCUCAUGGGAGGAAAGCACUGAGAAAGUCCCAUUUUCCCAGUGCUCUUUCGCAGACCAGAAGAGCAGCAGGGUUCGUUUCUCUGCUUCUCCUGCCUGUCCCAAGAAGGCAGCCUGGAUCAAGCAGUUUGUCCUUGGGGGUAUUGCUGUGGGAGAGGGAGGAAUGUGGCUUCAAGAGGUGGCCCUGCAGCCCUGGGGAGCAGCCUGGGCCUGCUGCUUGGUGAGGCCUGUACCUGUGCACAGGCCAGGUUGUGCUGUGCAAGCUGCAAUUAUGCAGGGAGCUUUAAAGUGGUAGAAAUCAGUAUGUUAAAAUGAACUUGGGAAAACUUCAUUCUGGCUCAAAGGGGCUCUUGCAGCAUGAGUCAUGUGCAGCUGUGGAGGAGCCCUGGGCAGAGCCUUCCUCCCCACUGCUGAAUGGGGCUGUCAGAGUGCUGGGAGCCAGGGCAGGGAGAAGAAAUACCCCACUUCAUUUCCUAACAAGGUGUGCAUGGGUGAAUUCCCCACAGGGGCACUGGUGGGGGUUUGUGGCUCUGUUUUUCAGUCCCUCAGCUCCACAUAAGAACAUUGUGCAGCUUGAAACACCCUAAGCCCAUCCCCAGGAAGCAGACAAUGGUGUUGAUAUGCCUGUUGCUGCAGAGGAAGUGGCUUCUGUUAUAACCAACAAGCAAUCUGCCAGAGUCCGUGUUGGGGUGGUUGCCAAAAUAAAUUUGACAUAAAAUUA